GAUGAACGCUAGCUACAGGCUUAACACAUGCAAGUCGCGGGGCAGCAUGGGGGUUGCUUGCCAUCCCCGAUGGCGACCGGCGCACGGGUGAGUAACGCGUAUCCAACCUGCCCUUCACCACGGGAUAACCCGGCGAAAGUCGGACUAAUACCGUAUGUUGUCCAUUGACGGCAUCCGAUUUGGACGAAAGGCUUGGCGGUGAGGGAUGGGGAUGCGUCCGAUUAGCCAGACGGCGGGGUAACGGCCCACCGUGGCUACGAUCGGUAGGGGUUCUGAGAGGAAGGUCCCCGACACUGGAACUGAGACACGGUCCAGACUCCUACGGGAGGCAGCAGUGAGGAAUAGUGGUCAAUGGGCGUAAGCCUGAACCAGCCAAGUAGCGUGCAGGAGGACGGCCCUAUGGGUUGUAAACUGCUUUUAUGCGGGGAUAAAGUGGCCCACGUGUGGGCUUUUGCAGGUACCGCAUGAAUAAGGACCGGCUAAUUCCGUG
rnacentral:rRNA from 1 species